UACGUAGGGGGCAAGCGUUGUCCGGAUUCAUUGGGCGUAAAGAGCGUGUAGGCGGCCAGGUAGGUCGGUUGUGAAAACUGGAGGCUCAACCUUCAGAGGUCGACCGAAACCAUCUGGCUAGAGUCCGGGAGAGGAGAGUGGAAUUCCUGGUGUAGCGGUGAAAUGCGUAGAUAUCAGGAGGAACACCGGCGGUGUAGACGGCUUUCUGGACCGUAGCUGACGCUGAGACACGAAAGCGUGGGGAGCAAACAGG
rnacentral:rRNA from 1 species